rnacentral:rRNA from 1 species
AACGAACGCUGGCGGCAUGCCUAACACAUGCAAGUCGAACGAGACCUUCGGGUCUAGUGGCGCACGGGUGCGUAACGCGUGGGAAUCUGCCCUUGGGUCCGGAAUAACAGUUAGAAAUGACUGCUAAUACCGGAUGAUGACUUCGGUCCAAAGAUUUAUCGCCCAGGGAUGAGCCCGCGUCGGAUUAGCUAGUUGGUGGGGUAAAAGCUCACCAAGACGACGAUCCGUAGCUGGUCUGAGAGGAUGAUCAGCCACACUGGGACUGAGACACGGCCCAGACUCCUACGGGAGGCAGCAGUGGGGAAUAUUGGACAAUGGGGGCAAGCCUGAUCCAGCAAUGCCGCGUGAGUGAUGAAGGCCUUAGGGUUGUAAAGCUCUUUUACCCGGGAUGAUAAUGACAGUACCGGGAGAAUAAGCCCCGGCUAACUCCGUGCCAGCAGCCGCAGUAACAC